rnacentral:sRNA from 1 species
AACUGUGUGCUACAGCGGAUUAGUUG